rnacentral:lncRNA from 12 species
CACACACAUGGGCUCCUAUAACAGCAAGCUUUGAGGUUUACUAAAAAACAGAAUUCAUCAGUCCUGUGCUAAACCUUUGAAACCGGCGUCUCCUUUCCAAUCCCCACCUUCAUCUUCUGCCUGCCAUCCCCUUUGUGCAAAGAUUG